AGCUGGUGCUCAAGACAGAAGUCAGCUCUUGCUGUGAGCACAGUGCUGGUGCGAGGGUCCCGGCGGGGAGCCAACAGCCCCCACACCACCCCAAGAUUGGCAUUGGGGCGGACAGGACGAGCUCCACGGGACGACGACUAGGCCCUCUUGAUAGACCUUGACCCUCUCUGUCCCAGAGCUGAGCAUGGCUGUGACCUGUCAUUGCUGCUCUGCAAUCCCCUGUGAAAGGCAGUACCAAAGGUAACUCCUGCUGCUGGAAGGAAGGACUACUGCAGGACCAACCUAUGCUGCUUCCUUUUCCUGAGUGAGAAUUGCCCACUUCAGGUGGAAACACAUGUGCAAUGAGACUACUCGAAGAUAUCACCGUCACAAGCCUGGAAGACUAUUGGAAUUGAGCAGAUGGACCCAGAUGGCUAUGAGCUCCAUGUUUUAAACCACGGGGAUGAGCAAGGUGUCAGAAGCAAAGAGCUGGGUCAGAAAGGUAAUCCCAUCGUUCAGUGACUGCUGGUGGGCCACAGGGCACAGUGAGGGGCAGGGAGGGACAAGUUAAUGGCAGUAUCUGUGUCUCUCGGAAGUGUUCAUGCUCUCUAUUAUUGCAGUGAUACACAGGCUUGAUUUCUUGAAAGUAUGAAGCAUGAAAAGUGAUGACUUGAUCUGUUAGAGACGCCUGUGUAAUGGUUACCUAUACUUUAUGGCCAGCCCUGUCCUCCCACCUCAGACUGAGAGAAAACAGCAGGUCACCGUUUGGCUUGGGGUGGCGUGGGGAACCAGUGUGUGGCCAUUUGCUGCACAAAGGUGGCAGCCAGGCUGUCCUGCCCUCCCAAACCUGCUGCUGCAUCACACUUAGCCUUCUUUAUGGCUCUGCUGCACUUCAAGCUGCUGCCAACAGCACACAGCGUCUUGCGUCAUUGGCACUGAACAGAGCAUCUGCGACAAGAGAAAGAUCAGGAAAGAACAGCGUUUCGAAACUCUGCUGUUACAGACAGUUCAGCUGCUGUCUGAAAAGGUGCAAAGGGGCCCUGCUCUGCAGGAUGAAAAACAAGCACAAGGGCUGCAUGGAGAGAAGAAACUUCGUCCUGUGCUGACGCUGCUGGCUGCGUCACUCCCCUUGGCCUGACUCAGCACUGCCACGCUCCCCACACCACCUCCCAGCGGGCACCAGCCGCUGCCCAAGCCGAAUCGUGCAGGAUUCUGCACCUUGCUGGUGGUCCCAAACAGCAAUCUAGAUCUUUCGCUCUUACUGACCAUGGCUGUGUCUUGCUUCAAGCUGCUGUCAAGGGAGGAUGCGCGACUGCUGCAGCAGGAGAUGCUCUCGUGCUUCAGCAGUGCUGUUGCCAUGGCUUUGUCCUGGUGUACAUGAGAUCAGAGGCUGGCUCCCUGCCACCGAGCAUGGCAUUUGCAAGAACUGGACGGAAUUAUGCUCGUCAUUGUUUGCUUUUUGUUUUUCCCGAACAAGAGUAACGAUAGUACUGCUGACCAAACCCUCACCUUGAGAAAGAUGUGGUGUUGGUGUUUUCUUAGGGAAGCCCAACAGAACUAAAACAAACCUGAGGACCAGUCCCUAAAUCUGAACGCUGUGGCUGUGGGUAUGUUUUCAGUGCUUUCUUCUUCAGUGGCACAUUUAACAACUCUUGUUGUUGCUUGGCUAAGUGAGGACUGGGAGGCAGGAGACCCAACACCAACUCUCCAGCUCUGCCACAGAGAUUCUCGGUAGAUCAGGGUAAAUUACUGGAUCUCUUGAUGCUAUUUGUCCCCUUCCAAAAAGGAGAAGUAACUGUAUGUAACUUCUGCAUUUUGAGUCUUUAGAUGAUAUUGAUGAGAUCCUGGAGUGGCUCUGCAACAGCCCUCUACUAGGAGCGUAUGGGGCAAGAAUCAGAUUUUUAAAUUGCUAAGUAUAUGAGUGGAGGAAGGUGAUGCAGGUGUAGGUAAGGUAGUAAGGAGACAAACCUGGUGAACAAAGAAGUUUCUCUGAUGCCCUUCCCUUAAGUGGUUGGAAAUAUUUUUUGGAACAGGGAGUUUCCUUUCCUUUAUGCAUGUAUAUCAUGCGUAUACUGAAUUCAGCUGUGCAUUGUAUAUGCACAGCAUUCAGAACUUGGGGCUGUGGUAUGAAUAAUUGGGUAGGUUGAACAAAAUUUCCUCCAUUUAAAAUGUAGCAAAGUUUUCCGAAAAAUGUUAAAAUUAAAAUACAUUCAUAAAUGUUGUGCCUCUAGCAUUCUGUAUAUGAGGAGACAGCUUCCUGUAAAAGAGUUAUUUUUUUAUUUUCAUUAUCCUUUUAUGAAGGCUUAAAUUAUCUUGAGUUAUUCAAUAAAACCCACAAAAUUGCUCUUUACGCAAUUACUCAGAGAGAGUGUUCCAUUAUGUGACAGUCACACAACCACAUAAUAUCCCUUUCAUCUAUAACUUUCUGCUACUUUUGCCCACUAAGUGUCUGAGAAAGUAAGGCAGGAUUAAAAUAUUCCAAUGGACACAUGCUGGCCUGGGUGUUGAUCAUGCCCAGGGAAAAAAUCAACAGAUUACCACAUGGUCCAAAGAGGCCUAUUUGUGAGGAGAAAUAGUGUGGAUGUGCCAGAUUGCCCUAAACAGGAUUGUGUGAUUUGACUUGCUUUCAUAACUUCAGAGCAUCUGAUUUCUUUCUUAUCCUAAGCCCUGAUCUUCUGGUGGGUGAGUUUUCCUGCAGUCUAGUAUCCAGAAAGUACCCAGAAAGG